AUUGAACGCUGGCGGCAUGCUUUACACAUGCAAGUCGAACGGUAACAGGCCGCAAGGUGCUGACGAGUGGCGAACGGGUGAGUAAUGCAUCGGAACGUGCCCAGUCGUGGGGGAUAACGCAGCGAAAGCUGUGCUAAUACCGCGUACGAUCUAUGGAUGAAAGCGGGGGACCGUAAGGCCUCGCGCGAUUGGAGCGGCCGAUGUCAGAUUAGGUAGUUGGUGGGGUAAAGGCCUACCAAGCCGACGAUCUGUAGCUGGUCUGAGAGGACGACCAGCCAAACUGGGACUGGGACACGGCCCAGACGCCUGAGGGAGGCAGCAGUGGGGAAUUUUGGACAAUGGGCGCAAGCCUGAUCCAGCAAUGCCGCGUGCAGGAAGAAGGCCUUCGGGUUGUAAGCUGCUUUUGUACGGAACGAAACGGACCGGGUUAAUACCCUGGGCUAAUGACGGUACCGUAAGAAUAAGCACCGGCUAACUACGUGCCAGCCGCCGCAGUAACAC
rnacentral:rRNA from 1 species